rnacentral:rRNA from 1 species
CCUACGGGAGGCAGCAGUGGGGAAUAUUGGACAAUGGGGGGAACCCUGAUCCAGCGACGCCGCGUGAGUGAAGAAGUAUUUCGGUAUGUAAAGCUCUAUCAGCAGGGAAGAAAGAAAUGACGGUACCUGACUAAGAAGACCCGGCUAACUACGUGCCAGCAGCCGCGGUAAUACGUAGGGGGCAAGAGUUAUCCGGAUUGACGGGGUGUAAAGGGAGCGUAGACGGGGGUGCAAGGCUGAAGUGAAAGGCGGGGGCCCAACCCCUGGACAGUUUUGGGAAACGGAUGGCUGGAGUGCAGGAGAGGUAAGUGGAAUUCCUGGUGUAGCGGUGAAAUGCGUAGAUAUUAGGAGGAACACCAGUGGCGAAGGCGGCUUACUGGACUGUAACUGACGUUGAGGCUCGAAAGCGUGGGGAGCAAACAGGAUUAGAUACCCCAGUAGUC